rnacentral:lncRNA from 1 species
UUUAUGCAUAAGAUAUACUAACCAAAUAACACGCCUCAAGGUGUAUCAUAAAGAUUUUCAGAUUAAAUUUCAGAUGAUACAUAUUGGAGAGUAUUAGGAUCAUUUUUCAUUUUGUAUUCUUCCUCUCUCCUUUAGUUAUAGAUAUACGCGAUUAAGUUCUGUGAGACCUCUCCUUCUGAAAUUUUCUUUCUCUCCCUCUAUUGAUCAUUCCAUUUAAGAGUUUAGAAUUUGAAGAUAAUGUUCAAUAAAAUUGUCAAUCUCAAAAAUAUAUUUUCUAGAAGUUUCAGCUCAUUUUCAUAAGACUCAAGGUUUGAGAUAAGACAGCCUUUAUAGAACUCAUCUCAAGGUAUAAACUCAUUAUAUAAUUAAAGCAAGUCGUGCAAUAUAAGGAAGUUCAUUAAAAACAAUCCAUAAAAAAAGAUACUGAAUAUCUGAAGCUCAUCUUAAAUCACUAAGAUUGAAAACACAUAUUUCAAUAACAUUAGAGCACUUUCAGAAUCUUUAUAUUUAAUAUUGAGUUUCGAUACACAAUGGAGGAUAUUUUAAUAAGUAUUAGGACAUUAUGUAUCAAAGUUAGGCAAGUAGAAAGAUAGAUCAAGAUUAAUUCAUUCUGCCUAAAUAGAGAUAUCUUUCUCUUCUUCUUUUUACAAAUUU